rnacentral:rRNA from 1 species
GUCGAGCGGUAAGGCCUUUCGGGGUACACGAGCGGCGAACGGGUGAGUAACACGUGGGUGAUCUGCCCUGCACUUCGGGAUAAGCCUGGGAAACUGGGUCUAAUACCGGAUAUGACCUCAGGUUGCAUGACUUGGGGUGGAAAGAUUUAUCGGUGCAGGAUGGGCCCGCGGCCUAUCAGCUUGUUGGUGGGGUAAUGGCCUACCAAGGCGACGACGGGUAGCCGACCUGAGAGGGUGACCGGCCACACUGGGACUGAGACACGGCCCAGACUCCUACGGGAGGCAGCAGUGGGGAAUAUUGCACAAUGGGCGAAAGCCUGAUGCAGCGACGCCGCGUGAGGGAUGACGGCCUUCGGGUUGUUAACCUCUUUCA